rnacentral:rRNA from 1 species
AGUGAACGCUGGCGGCGUGCCUAAUACAUGCAAGUCGAACGGAGUGGCGCACGGGUGAGUAAUAUAUAGCUAAUCUGCCCCUUGCUGGAGGACAACAGUUAGAAAUGACUGCUAAUACUCCAUAGCACGGGAUGAGACUAUAUCGUAUCAGCUCGUCGGUGGGGUAACAGCCUACCGAGGCUAUGACGCGUAACUGGUCUGAGAGGAUGAUCAGUCAAAUUGGACCUGAGACACGGUCCAAACGUCUACGGGAGGCAGCAGUAGGGAAUAUUGCGCAAGGGGGGAAACCCUGACGCAGCACUGCCGCGUGGAGGAUGACUCUUUGCGGAGCGGAAACGCCUUUUGUUAGUGAAGCGGUACCUAACGAAUAAGCACCGGCUAACUCCGUGCCAGCAGCCGCGGUAAUAC